rnacentral:rRNA from 1 species
GACGAACGCUGGCGGCGUGCUUAACACAUGCAAGUCGAGCGGUAAGGCCCUUUCGGGGUACACGAGCGGCGAACGGGUGAGUAACACGUGGGUGACCUGCCCUUAGCUCUGGGAUAAGCCUGGGAAACUGGGUCUAAUACCGGAUAUGACUCCAUGACGCAUGUUGUGGGGUGGAAAGCCUUGUGCGGCUAGGGAUGGGCCUGCGGCCUAUCAGCUUGUUGGUGGGGUGAUGGCCUACCAAGGCGACGACGGGUAGCCGGCCUGAGAGGGCGACCGGCCACACUGGGGACUGAGACACGGCCCAGACUCCUACGGGAGGCAGCNGUAAGGGGAUCUUGCGCAAUGGGCGAAAGCCUGACGCAGCGACGCCGCGUGGGGAUGACGGCCU